AUGAAAGUGUAUUGUGUAGAUUUUGUUCACUCAUACCACAAGAUUGACAUUUGAUCGGAUUCGAGCAGUUUGAGUUUUUUCUAAGAACGAGCACAACCUUAUGUUGUCGUCAUGCUCGCCCACAGAUGGUGCCACAAUACAACAGUGUGCGCAAACAGAAAAGCAUUAACAUAAAUGCAAAUGGCCAAUUUUAUGCGAAAUGGCAUUAUAAAAGAAGGCCGAUUUCAAAGGAACUCCUCUUUUCUGAUUGUGAUCCUCCAAAGUAAUUGUAGUGCGCGCGUGUGUAGAUUUUAAUUUGUGAGGAUCAGCUAGUGCAACAAAAAGCUGCAAAAAUGCGUCUGAUAUUUGUUAGUUUUGUUAGUCCAUUAAAAAUAUAAUUGUUAAGUGUUAGUAUGGUUAGUAUUUGUUAAUUUCUAAAUCCAAAACCUAAGACUAAUACACAUUAAAAUCUAGUAAUAUGAUACGCAAUAACGGACGAAACAAAAGAAGGCGUUAAAAGAGUGUUAAAAAUCCAAGAAAAAGGUCCAUGACAAGGGGCCUUUUUCUUUAUGUUCAUUUCGAAUUUCCUGUAGUGCAGUGGAGGUGAUUUCCGGAAGAUAGUGCGAUUCACGGGCAAAGUAUAUUCCGACGCUACAGCCGCCGUUCAGUUCUGUGGGCACAGCCGUGGUCGCAUUCUCACGUGGUCACGUGGAUCGGCCCUGUUCAUCGUCCGCUUGCAUCAGGCCGCCAUCUUCCAAUGCCCGCCGAAAUCCACAUAGCCAAACCAGGAUCGCUCGACGUUUCCGUCUUUCAACCAUCGCCGCAGUCGAUCGGCUGUUCCAAUCGGGCCUCGAUCCCUGAUCGGCCAAGACAAGUCGUCAUCGCCGCGUGCCGUCUAUGACGAUCAGCGAUUUCCUCGAUGCUAUCCGCCAUCACGAUUUCCUCGAAGCCACCAAACUGUCAGCUACCACCACCAGGAUCCGGAUCCCAACGAAACAAACCAAGCAAGUACCCCUAAUAUGUGACGUCACUCAAUAAAUAUGUAAAAUGUAAA